rnacentral:rRNA from 1 species
GAUGAACGCUGGCGGCGUGCCUAAUACAUGCAAGUCGAGCGAACAGACGAGGAGCUUGCUCCUCUGACGUUAGCGGCGGACGGGUGAGUAACACGUGGAUAACCUACCUAUAAGACUGGGAUAACUUCGGGAAACCGGAGCUAAUACCGGAUAAUAUAUUGAACCGCAUGGUUCAAUAGUGAAAGACGGUUUUGCUGUCACUUAUAGAUGGAUCCGCGCCGCAUUCGCUAGUUGGUAAGGUAACGGCUUACCAAGGCAACGAUGCGUAGCCGACCUGAGAGGGUGCUCGGCCACACGGGAACUAAGCGCCGGUCCAAACUCCUACGGGAGGCAGCAAGAGGGAAUCUUCCGUCAUGGGCGAAAUACUCGUCGGGCAAUCGCGCGUGACUGAUGAAAGUCUUCGGAUCGUAAAACUCUGUUAUUAGGGAAGAGCAAAUGUGUAAGUCACUAUGCGCGUCUUGACGGUACCUACUCAGAAAACCACGGCUAACUACGUG